rnacentral:rRNA from 1 species
CACGUAGGGGGCGAGCGUUGUCCGGAUUUAUUGGGCGUAAAGAGCUCGUAGGCGGUUCGGCAAGUCGGGUGUGAAAUUUCGAGGCUCAACCUCGAAACGCCACUCGAUACUGCUGUGACUGGAGUCCGGUAGAGGAGUGCGGAAUUCCUGGUGUAGCGGUGAAAUGCGCAGAUAUCAGGAGGAACACCAACGGCGAAGGCAGCACUCUGGGCCGGUACUGACGCUGAGGCGCGAAAGCUAGGGGAGCAAACGGG